CCUACGGGGGGCAGCAGUGGGGAAUAUUGCACAAUGGGGGAAACCCUGAUGCAGCAACGCCGCGUGAGUGAUGACGGCCUUCGGGUUGUAAAGCUCUGUCUUCAGGGACGAUAAUGACGGUACCUGAGGAGGAAGCCACGGCUAACUACGUGCCAGCAGCCGCGGUAAUACGUAGGUGGCGAGCGUUGUCCGGAUUUACUGGGCGUAAAGGGAGCGUAGGCGGACUUUUAAGUGAGAUGUGAAAUACUCGGGCUCAACUUGAGUGCUGCAUUUCAAACUGGAAGUCUAGAGUGCAGGAGAGGAGAAUGGAAUUCCGAGUGUAGCGGUGAAAUGCGUAGAUAUUCGGAGGAACACCGGUGGCGAAGGCGGCCAACUGGGCUUUAACUGACGCUGAGGCUCGAAAGUGUGGGGAGCAAACAGGAUUAGAUACCCCAGUAGUC
rnacentral:rRNA from 1 species